rnacentral:rRNA from 1 species
AAUGAGUACACUUUAAAUCCUUUAACAAGGACCAAUUGGAGGGCAAGUCUGGUGCCAGCAGCCGCGGUAAUUCCAGCUCCAAUAGCGUAUAUUAAAGUUGUUGCGGUUAAAAAGCUCGUAGUUGAAUCUGUGUGUCACAGUGUCGGUUCACCGCUCGCGGUGUCUAACUGGCAUUAUGUGGUACGUCCUACCGGUGGGCUUAGCUCCUUGCGGGCGGUCCAACUAAUCUCCCAUCGCGGUGCUCUUCACUGAGUGUCGAGGUGGGCCGGUACGUUUACUUUGAACAAAUUAGAGUGCUCAAAGCAGGCUACCUUCGCCUGAAUACUGCGUGCAUGGAAUAAUGGAAUAGGACCUCGGUUCUAUUUUGUUGGUUUUCGGAACCCCGAGGUAAUGAUUAAUAGGGACAGAUGGGGGCAUUCGUAUUGCGACGUUAGAGGUGAAAUUCUUGGAUCGUCGCAAGACGGACUAAAGCGAAAGCAUUUGCCAAAAAUGUUUUCAUUAAUCAAGAACGAAAGUUAGAGGUUCGAAGGCGAUCAGAUACCGCCCUAGUUCUAACCAUAAACGAUGCCAGCUAGCGAUCCGCCGAAGUUCCUCCGAUGACUCGGCGGGCAGCUUCCGGGAAACCAAAGCUUUUGGGUUCCGGGGGAAGUAUGGUUGCAAAGCUGAAACUUAAAGGAA